AUGCCGGGUCGCGGCGGGGAGGAGGGCGCGGCGGUGAGGCUGGCCAGGAUCCGCAAGCGCCGCGCGCUCUCGUCCUCCGACGCCUCCAACGCGGCGAGGAGACUCCGCUCCAGGAGGCCCGCGGUGCUGCUGAUACGCAGGAGGAGAGAAGGAGGCGCGGCCAUGUCGGACUCGUCGUCCCGGAGCCGGCAUUGCCGUCGCCACGUCGCCGACGGCGCGUCGGCGAGGAGGCUCGUCACCGCCUUCUGGCAGUCAGACAAGGACAGGCUGUUCGGGGAGGAGCAUCCUGUCCUGCUCAUGGACAAGGACGCGGCGGCGCGCCGGAGCCUGGUUCCUCGGAGCAACGCCUCCACGGAGGUUUCCAAGAGCUCAAGAAGCAGGACCAAAAUCAAAAUGUUUGAGGAGGCUGGUGGCCGGAAGGGGAGCUGCCACAACGGCCAUGGACAGUGGCUUUCAGCAGAUGUCAUGAGCAACUGCAGCGCAAUGGAGAUUGGUACACACCCUCAAGAUGAUGAAGAGAAAGCAAUCCAGCUGAAGGAUCUGUAUAACAGCUUGAUUGCGUCCAAGGAGCUCGCCAAGGUGCUAGCACACAUCUGGGGAGAAGUGAACCCAUCAACCGUCUCACUCAUCUCCGCACUGCGUUCCGAGCUCGAUCUUGCGCGCGCCCACGUGCGACGGCUCAUCAAGGAGCACAAAGCUGAGCGCGGCGAAAUCGACGGCCUGAAGAAGGAGCUCGUGGAGGAAAUGGAGGCCUGGAAGGCCAAGCAGAAGGAGAAGGCCGCGACCGCUCUGCAGUACAUCGUCACGGAGCUGGACAAGGAGAAGAAGUCGAGGAGAAGAGCAGAGAGGGCCAAGGAGAAGCUCGGCGCGGCAUUGGCCGACGCCGAGUCCUCGCUACGCGCGGCCAGCAAAGAGCUGGAGAGGGAAAGGAAGUGCAGAGGGAAGGUGGAGAAGAUGUGCGGCGAGCUCGUGAGAGGCAUCGGCGAGGACAGGGCCGAGGUGGAGGCGCUCAAAAGAGAAGCUGAGGACGCGCAACGGGAGCUUGAGAAAGAGCGGGAGAUGCUCCAUCUCGCGGACGAGUGGCGCGAGCAGCGGGUCCAGAUGAAGCUGCUGGAGGCGCGGCUUCAGUUCGAGGAGAAGAACUCGGCGCUCACUCAGCUGCACGACGAGCUGCAGGCGUGUCUGGAUGCCAAGAAGGGCCAGGCGCCUGAGAAAACCGAUCAGAUGCAGUCAACCCGUGCGUCUGAAAAUGGAGGCGCUGCCUCUGGCCCUGUUCCAGCUCCGGACAAUGCCGGUGACGGAGGAUUCAGUGAGGAUUGCGACUCGGAAGGGAGUGACAUGCACUCGAUCGAACUGAACGUCGACGGCAACGGCAAUUUGCAUACCUGGAGCUACACUCCUUCGUCGAGGCGCGACCAGAGAGUGGGUGCGUCGAUGCAUGGAUCGUUGCCGGAGGACAGACGGAUGGAUGAUGCCGGCUCGCGCGACGCCGGCGGCUUCGACCGGAAAACGUUCCGGGAGACGGAUGAUGCGCUGGAGGGGGACUGGGCAGAUGGGUGCAGCCACGGAGUGCUCAACUUUGAUCAUGAUGAGGAGAGGUACCAGGCGAUCAAGGAUCUCAGGGAGCAGAUGCUGGCUGGAUCUGGACUCCUCAUGUCACAGGGCAGAGAAACUGCUCAAAGUCAGUACUGCAUCUUGUGA
rnacentral:rRNA from 1 species